rnacentral:rRNA from 1 species
GGUUAAUACCCUGAGUAGAUGACGGUACCAGCAUAAGAAGCACCGGCUAACUACGUGCCAGCAGCCGCGGUAAUACGUAGGGUGCGAGCGUUAAUCGGAAUUACUGGGCGUAAAGCGUGCGCAGGCGGUUUUGUAAGUCAGAUGUGAAAUCCCCGGGCUCAACCUGGGAACUGCAUUUGAGACUGCAAGGCUAGAGUGUGGCAGAGGGGGGUAGAAUUCCACGUGUAGCAGUGAAAUGCGUAGAGAUGUGGAGGAAUACCGAUGGCGAAGGCAGCCCCCUGGGCCAAUACUGACGCUCAUGCACGAAAGCGUGGGGAGCAAACAGGAUUAGAUACCCUGGUAGUCCACGCCCUAAACGAUGUCAACUAGGUGUUGGGAGGGUUAAACCUUUUAGUGCCGUAGCUAACA